rnacentral:rRNA from 1 species
UACGGGGGGUGCGAGCGUUGUCCGGAUUUACUGGGCGUAAAGGGCGCGUAGGCGGCGUGUUAAGUCACUUGUGAAAUCUCUAAGCUUAACUUAGAACGGUCAAGUGAUACUGAUGUGCUAGAGUGCAGAAGGGGCAACCGGAAUUCUUGGUGUAGCGGUGAAAUGCGUAGAUAUCAAGAGGAACACCUGAGGUGAAGACGGGUUGCUGGGCUGACACUGACGCUGAGGCGCGAAAGCUAGGGUAGCAAACGGG